CUUAAGUUCUCCUGUGACACAGCUUUUCAUCUUUUUCUUCACAUUUAAGCUUUGAGGAUGUAAAGCUGGACCAGAGGGUGGGAAAUUCAAGAACCUUGAAAUAAAAGAUCUUUCUGUUUGCCUUCUCUUUCCUAAAAAGGAAGUUCUCACUGGCUGUUCCUGUAAAGGAUAUUAAGCUGCGUGGAUUAUGGAUGGUUCGUCACACGGCAAUUUGGAGCAGGAAGCACAUGAAACCCUAGAGCUAGCCUGCACGCAACUAACUGAAACCCUCAAUUAAUCGGAUUGGCCUCCACCUUCAGGAGAAAAGCGAAUACUAAGAAAACAAAUUAGCACCUGGAAUUUAACAGCUUCCCUUUUGUGGCAUGGGGUGGGUUCUAUUCAGAGCACACAGAUGACUGAUGGCUCCUCGCAAACGCACAGACAGCUGCACUGUCCUCCGAGGCAGAGUGGCGUGGUGGAAACGGAGUUGGCGGAGACAUCAGACCUGCCUGGUUUCCAUCCCAGCUCUAGCGUGCAUGUCGCUUGGCAAGCAUCUCACCACUCAGAGCCUUGAUUUCAGGAUUAAAAAAAUAACGUAUUCAACAGAGUCAUUGUGGAGAAGAUUAGGGCUUUGUGCAACGGCUCACCUGGUGGAUACUCAAUAAGAAUGAGUUCUCUUUCUCAGUUCCUGUCUACAGAGCUACAGACACUUGGCUUAAAAACCUUUGAUUACGGCCAGUUGACUGGUCUAGCUAACAUCAGCAGAGGGGUGUGCUUUCCCUAGUAUGGAAGAACAGAGGUAAAGGUUUUCCAAGAUUUGAAGCAGUCAUACAGGCAAAAUAGGAGCCUAAAGACUUCUGGGGAGGUUUGGAAUGAGAUCCCGUUCUGGUUUCAGAAACGCCAGCGCCAUCUCUUGGAGGAGCAUGAAAUUGGCCCAUGGGCGAAAGAGGCCUCAUUGGGGCCCCAGGCAAUGGGUCAUUUUGGGGCGCUGCAGAACAUCUGUGCUUUCCCUGUGCCCCACCACCUCCCCAGCUCCCGAGCUGCAGCCAUCUCUGCUGCACCUGCUGUCAGAAGGCAGCUCCUUGGGGCUCCUGCUACAGCUGCUACACCUGUGCAGAGAGCUUAGGCGGAGCAGAGAACCUUCUAACUGCAGCAGUCCUGACAAAGCACUUUGUGCACCCCUCCGGGACGUAACAAGGGCACCAAACUGGGAACAAAAAUAA
rnacentral:lncRNA from 1 species